rnacentral:rRNA from 1 species
AUUGAACGCUGGCGGCAUGCCUUACACAUGCAAGUCGAACGGCAGCGGGCCUUCGGGUGCCGGCGAGUGGCGAACGGGUGAGUAAUGCAUCGGAACGUGCCAUUGAGUGGGGGGAUAACGUAGCGAAAGUUGCGCUAAUACCGCAUAUUCUGUGAGCAGGAAAGCAGGGGACCGCAAGGCCUUGCGCUCUUUGAGCGGCCGAUGUCAGAUUAGCUAGUUGGUGAGGUAAAGGCUUACCAAGGCGACGAUCUGUAGCGGGUCUGAGAGGAUGAUCCGCCACACUGGAACUGAGACACGGUCCAGACUCCUACGGGAGGCAGCAGUGGGGAAUUUUGGACAAUGGGGGCAACCCUGAUCCAGCCAUGCCGCGUGAGUGAAGAAGGCCUCGGUUGU